GACGAACGCUGGCGGCGUGCCUAAUACAUGCAAGUUGAGCGAUGAAGAUUGGUGCUUGCACCAAUUUGAAGAGCAGCGAACGGGUGAGUAACGCGUGGGGAAUCUGCCUUUGAGCGGGGGACAACAUUUGGAAACGAAUGCUAAUACCGCAUAACAACUUUAAACAUAAGUUUUAAGUUUGAAAGAUGCAAUUGCAUCACUCAAAGAUGAUCCCGCGUUGUAUUAGCUAGUUGGUGAGGUAAAGGCUCACCAAGGCGAUGAUACAUAGCCGACCUGAGAGGGUGAUCGGCCACAUUGGGACUGAGACACGGCCCAAACUCCUACGGGAGGCAGCAGUAGGGAAUCUUCGGCAAUGGACGAAAGUCUGAACGAGCAACGCCGCGUGAGUGAAGAAGGGUGUCGGAUCGGAAAACUCUGUUGGUAGAGAAGAACGUUGGUGAGAGUGGAAAGCUCAUAAAGUGACGGUAACUACCCAGAAAGGGACGGCUAACUACGUG
rnacentral:rRNA from 1 species